rnacentral:rRNA from 1 species
AGAAUCAACGCUGGCGGCGUGCCUCAGACAUGCAAGUCGAACGAUUAAAGCUCUCUUCGGAGAGUGUAUAGAGUGGCGCACGGGUGAGUAACACGUAAGUAAUCUACCUUCGAGUGGGGGAAUAACGUCCGGAAACGGACGCUAAUACCGCAUAAUGCAGCGGCAUCUAAUGAUGACAGUUGUUAAAGAUUUAUCGCUUGAAGAGGAGCUUGCGGCAGAUUAGCUAGUUGGUAAGGUAAUGGCUUACCAAGGCUACGAUCUGUAACCGGUCUAAGAGGACGGUCGGUCACACUGACACUGAAUAACGGGUCAGACUCCGUACGGGAGGCAGCAGUCGGGAAUUUUGGGCAA